CCAAAUGCGUUGAAGAGAAGAGUAAAUACAUCGGAUUUUGUAACAGAGAGCUCCGGCAGCUGAAAAGGAGUACGGAAUCAUGUAUUGAACCAAGACUCUGAGCAUCACAUCGGACCUAGUAUUGCGGGAUGGUGUGACAGGGGCUCCUGUUAUCGAGCUAGAGUAUAAACACCGGGUUGUACCCGAUGUCGUACUUGAAGAGGUUAAUAUGGCGACAUAUUAACGAAUCUGAGGUGGUACCGCGAAAUCCAAAUCUCGUCCUCAAG
rnacentral:ncRNA from 1 species